AGCACAUGGCCCUGAUUCUUUGUCUUUGGGCCUCCUUCACCAUGGGAUUUUGGCACUUGUGCCUCCAUAAGGAGCAGGCAGAGGUUUGGUUGUGCAGAACUGAUGCUGGGGCAGUGGGGCGCACAAAUCACUGCUGUGAGGGGCAGCACAAACUGCAAAGUAUUUACUUCAUGCUGAUGCUCUGAACUGUUACUUUUGAGUGGGGUAAGAUUGCCUUACACUAUGAGCCAAAAUAUGGUUUUGAACUGCGUUAAUCUUAUUCUAAGCAUGCUUUGCAUUUAGCAUAGCAGGGGCAGCUCAGGGCCUUUGCAGUGCUGCUGUAGUGUUUAUGCUCUCCAUCCUUUCUGGGCUGAUAGCUGCUGUGUUGUUGUGAACAUGUGUGUAUGUAUCUCUCCUGUCCAGAAUGAAAAAUAGCUCCUCUCUUUGAUCUUCCCUCCUUUGCUAAAAAGUAACCCCAAAUAAUCUCUUCUAUUACACGGGGUAGGUGGUGACACGAGCCAGGAAUGGAAAAGAAAUGUGACCCUCCUUUUCAGCCAUUGCUGACUGUGAAACAUAGAAUCUCUGUCCAGGUCACACCAUCAACUGAUGUAAAUUGGCAUAGCUUCACUGAAGGCGCUGGAGUUGAUGGAUUUUGAUGUGCUGAACAUCUGGCCCCGUGUGAUUGCACUCCUUCCCUGCAUGGAGCUCUGCUACAGCUAGAAAGAAGAAGCCUAAGCAGAGGUUCUGCUCGUAUUUUCCUCUCUGGCACUUCAUCAGAGGCUGUUUGGUCUAAAAGGUGACAGAAGAUGGGGAAUUUGGGCCCUGAUGUUGUAUUUGCAGCUCUGUCCCUAAUAUUUGAUGCUGGGCAGUUUGUACCAGCAUGCCUUGCUUUACCUAGUGUAUGUAACAGUGCUUUUAUUUAAUUAGUACCUCAGUACUAAGGGCAUUAAUUAAGAUCAUAGCUGCAACAAGGGAAAUUCUGUUUGGAUAUAGCAGGAGAACAAUAACAGAACAGGGAGAGCAGUUUGUAGUUGCAAUGGAUUCUUAAGCUGAGCCACGUUUGUAGUGCAGUGUGAGCUGAAGUCUGCUAAUGGUGGUUCUGUUUCCAAAUCUUCGAACUUCACUUGGCUUUGGGUCAAACUGCGCCAAAGAUGUUUUCGUUUGUAAACAAACCUUGUGUUGGUAAGCAACCAGAUGUAACAUUUGAAUUUAAAUUUUUUUUUGUCCCAUGUAG
ensembl:lncRNA